CCCUUAGAUGUCCUGGGCCGCACGCGCGUUACACUGAUGCAUUCAACGAGCUUAUAACCUUGGCCGAGGGGCCUGGGCAAUCUUGUUAACGUGCAUCGUGAUAGGGAUAGAUUAUUGAAAUUAUUAAUCUUGAACGAGGAAUUCCUAGUAAACGCAGAUCAUCAAUCUGCAUUGAUUACGUCCCUGCCCUUUGUACACACCGCCCGUCGCACCUACCGAUUGGAUGGUCCGGUGAAGCCUCGGGAUUGUGGUUCUUGCCGCUUCAUUGUGGCGUGACCGCGAGAACUUGUCUAAACCUUAUCAUCUAGAGGAAGGUGAAGUCGUAACA
rnacentral:rRNA from 1 species